rnacentral:rRNA from 1 species
AUUGAACGCUGGCGGAAUGCUUUACACAUGCAAGUCGAACGGCAGCACGGGGGCAACCCUGGAGGCGAGUGGCGAACGGGUGAGUAAUACAUCGGAACGUGCCCGGUCGUGGGGGAUAACGUAGCGGAAGUUACGCUAAUACCGCAUACGAUCUGAGGAUGAAAGCGGGGGACCUUCUGGCCUCGGGCGAUCGGAGCGGCCGAUGUCAGAUUAGGUAGUUGGUGGGGUAAAGGCCUACCAAGCCGACGAUCUGUAGCUGGUCUGAGAGGACGACCAGCCACACUGGGCCUGAGACACGGCCCAGACUCCUACGGGAGGCAGCAGUGGGGAAUUUUGGACAAUGGGCGCAAGCUUGAUCCAGCCAUUCCGCGUGCAGGACGAAGGCUUUCGGGUUGUAAACUGCUUUUGUAUGGAACGAAAAGGCUCUGGCUAAUACCUGGGGCUCAUGACGGUACCGUAAGAAUAAGCACCGGCUAACUACGUG